UGGCUCAGGACGAACGCUGGCGGCGUGCUUAACACAUGCAAGUCGAACGCUGAAGCCGUCUUCGGACGGUGGAUGAGUGGCGAACGGGUGAGUAACACGUGGGUAAUCUGCCCUGUACUCUGGGAUAAGCCUGGGAAACUGGGUCUAAUACCGGAUAGGACACGCUACCGCAUGGUGGUGUGUGGAAAGCUUCGGCGGUACAGGAUGAGCCCGCGGCCUAUCAGCUAGUUGGUGGGGUGAUGGCCUACCAAGGCGACGACGGGUAGCCGGCCUGAGAGGGUGACCGGCCACACUGGGACUGAGACACGGCCCAGACUCCUACGGGAGGCAGCAGUGGGGAAUAUUGCACAAUGGGCGGAAGCCUGAUGCAGCGACGCCGC
rnacentral:rRNA from 1 species